rnacentral:rRNA from 1 species
UGGGGAAUAUUGGACAAUGGGCGAAAGCCUGAUCCAGCCAUGCCGCGUGUGUGAAGAAGGUCUUCGGAUUGUAAAGCACUUUAAGUUGGGAGGAAGGGCAGUAAGCGAGUACCUUGCUGUCUUGACGUUACCGACAGAAUAAGCACCGGCUAACUCUGUGCCAGCAGCCGCGGUAAUACAGAGGGUGCAAGCGUUAAUCGGAAUUACUGGGCGUAAAGCGCGCGUAGGUGGUUCGUUAAGUUGAAUGUGAAAGCCCCGGGCUCAACCUGGGAACUGCAUCCAAAACUGGCGAGCUAGAGUAGGGCAGAGGGUAGUGGAAUUUCCUGUGUAGCGGAGAAAUGCGUAGAUAUAGGAAGGAACACCAGUGGCGAAGGCGACAACCUGGGCUCAUACUGACACUGAGGUGCGAAAGCGUGGGGAGCAAACAGG